CCCGGCCCCAAAUCAGGCUGUGUGGGGUGUGUAUGGGGUGGGAGGGGAUGAGGGGGAGAGCUGUGGGUCCUGCAUCCUGCCCCUGCCUCCAUGUCAUGGUCCCUGCAUGCCAUUGGGUGCCUGUCACCGGAUUGUCCCCACGCGGGGUGGCACGGGGCGUUGUGGCAGGUCCUGGGCUGGUUCUGGGGCAGGAGGGCUCUGGGCAAGGCUCUCCUUUAGCCAUGCCGCCACCACCCACCCUAUAACCAGCUGCCAGGGUGAGGGACGUGCCCCAGAUGUCCCCGUGUCCUACUGCAUUGAUGUCCACCAGAUGUGGGCCACCGAAAGUCCUCCUGGUCUGACCCAGGCUCUGCAAAGCCAGUUCCACUUGUGGUGACACCAAGUCCCUUGGAGCUAGGAUUCACCUCCUGGCAUCACUGGAGACCUGAGAUGAAGCCUCCAAACUUGUUUCACCUCAAAGUUGAAAGCACGGAGAUGAAAUGAUCCAAUUCCUCCAGCGUGCUACCUGUUAGAAACUUUCAUUUAGGCUGGAAUCCACUGGAUCUUCCACCCUGGCACAACACC